GGCAAAUUAAAAUGUUACAAAGCUCACUGUUCUUUCCAAGAUGCAGCUGUUUUUCUUGAAUAGAUGUGCCUUGGAUUUUUGUAAACCUUUGGUUAAUUUGCAGAGUUUUGAGAAAGUUAAUUUCUGACAACUUUUGAAGGAUUCUUACUGCUUUUAUGGAGGAGUGGAUUUCGAGAGAUUCUGGAUACAAGUCUUUAGACAAAUACACGCUUUGUGAACAUCUUCUACCAGGUUGUUUCUUGCCUUUUCACUCUGUGGAUCCAAUCUUGCACUGCAGUACUCAACCAAAUAAUUUUGUCAUGUAAAGGAGGAUUUAACAGUUGGUUUCACCUACCAGGAAACCACUGCCCUGACUCUUACUGUGAUUCUGUUCUAGUUCUCUUAGUUUUCUUUACAGUUUUAUCAUCUAGCAGAAGAUUGCUCCUGUUAUACAACUUUAUUUCAAUUAGAAAUAAACUGCAGCUGAAUGGUUCAUGCCUGUAAUCCCAGCAGCUCCGGAGGCUGAGGCAGGAGGAUCACGAGUUCAAAGCCAGCCUCAUCAACCUAUUGGGGCCCUAAGCAACUCAG